rnacentral:rRNA from 1 species
CCUACGGGGGGCAGCAGUGGGGAAUAUUGCACAAUGGGGGAAACCCUGAUGCAGCGACGCCGCGUGAGCGAUGAAGUAUUUCGGUAUGUAAAGCUCUAUCAGCAGGGAAGAAAAUGACGGUACCUGACUAAGAAGCCCCGGCUAACUACGUGCCAGCAGCCGCGGUAAUACGUAGGGGGCAAGCGUUAUCCGGAUUUACUGGGUGUAAAGGGAGCGUAGACGGCGGUGCAAGCCAGAUGUGAAAGCCUGGGGCUCAACCCCGGGACUGCAUUUGGAACUGUGCUGCUAGAGUGUCGGAGAGGCAGGCGGAAUUCCUAGUGUAGCGGUGAAAUGCGUAGAUAUUAGGAGGAACACCAGUGGCGAAGGCGGCCUGCUGGACAUUAACUGACGCUGAGGCGCGAAAGCGUGGGGAGCAAACAGGAUUAGAUACCCUGGUAGUC